UGGGGUUGGAAUAUGGUGCAUCCUGGAGGAUUCGAACCUCCGACCGCUCGGUUCGUAGCCGAGUACUCUAUCCA
rnacentral:tRNA from 3 species